rnacentral:rRNA from 1 species
AUUGAAAGCUGGCGGCAGGCCUAACACAUGCAAGUCGUGCGAGCGGCGGACGGGUGAGUAAUGUAUGGGGAUCUGCCUGAUGGAGGGGGAUAACUACUGGAAACGGUAGCUAAUACCGCAUACCAUCAGAUGAACCCAUAUGGGCUGAGCUUGUAGGUGAGGUAACGGCUCACCUAGGCGACGAUCCCUAGCUGGUCUGAGAGGAUGAUCAGUCACACUGGGACUGAGACACGGCCCAGACUCCUACGGGAGGCAGGAGUGGGGAAUGUUGCACAAUGGGCGCAAGCCUGAUACAGCCAUGCCGCGUGUAUGAAGAAGGACGUCGGGUUGUAAAAUACUGUCAGUCGGGAUGCGUUACAGAAAGAAGAAGCACGGGCGAACUCCGUGCCAGAAGCCGCGGUAAGUC